ensembl:lncRNA
UUUAUAUCAAAGAGUCAUCUUAGUGUCCUGUCACACUUAAUGAAUAGCAUGAAAUUUAUCUCUUAUACCUUCAUCUCCCCUACAGAGAGAAAGUCUUCAGGUCAAGAAUGUUGAGAAUCUGGAACACAGCUCAAUGCCUGGUGCAUGCAUUUCUUCAUUUGGAAGACGUGGCAUAUGUGUACAAGAAAAGACAAGUUCAAGACCCAUGAGUUUGAGAGAGGAGAGCAUUCUGACCCACCUCAACUGCUAUUCUUCGAAAACCUACACACGUAAUCAUCUGAAGCUUUCUCCAGAUUAUCAACAAUCCACCCUAAGGACUCUCCCCUUCUCAAUCUCCAGAGCCAAACUUUCUUCUAAACUAAAGGUAUUUUGUUUUUUAUUUUUGUUUUGCAUUUGCAUGGUGGACAUCUGCAUGCAUCCCAAAUUAAGCAUAUCAUUUCUUCCAGAAAAGUCUGCCCUUUGCUCUGUGCUCCUUAUUCAGAUUACUAUGAGAUUUUCUCAGGCAUUUAGAUCUAAAAUUCUGAGUCAUCUUUAACUCCCUGCCUCAGCCCACCGCAUCCAAACAGUUUAUUGCCCUUUGCCUGACUCCUUUUUGUCUUCACUCCCUUCCCAUCCCACUCGUGCCCCUAGUUGAUUAUUCAUUCUCCUCUCACAUAGAUUAUCACCUAGCCUCCUAACUAGUCUCUCUGUAUCUAUUCCCACUAGCACAGGCUACACACCUAAGUUACAAAAUCCCCAUUUCUGAUUAUAUCUCUCCUCUAUUAAGGAUGUUAAGGACAUUCACUAUCUAACAAGUAAGGUUCAAAAUGCUCUGGCCAUAUUUGAGGUCUCUACUAUCUAUCUUUCCAAUAUUAAAUCAAAUAUUCAUUCCUUUGUUCCAUCAGAACACUCAUUUGCUGCUUGCCACAGACAGGCACGUAGAAAAUUUCAGUCUUCAUCUUUUUGUCUAGAAAACCCUUGCCCCGCCCCCCCAUGUCAAAAUCUGAUUUUUCCUUUAACACUCCACUAGAAGACUACCUCCUUCUUAGAGCUUCUCCUUAUGCCUUGCUGUCCUUGCUAUUAUUUAUUUCCCAUCUCCCACAACUCCACGCCAUAUUGGAAAGGAUUUCUCCCUCUUUUGAGUUUACACUUAAUUUUUUCAUUAGCAAACUCCACUGUGUUUUCUGUGUAUAAUCCUACAGCAUUUUAGCUCUUAGGGCAAUUGAUUCUGGAGACAGUCCUUCAUAAAUAUCUGGUGGAUGAAUGAGUACAGCCUUUAUAGAUUUUUUUUUCCUCUAACAAGUCUGCCUUCACAUCUCUAAGUCAAUUGAAAGAAUAUUAUACGUGGAGUGAAUUUAUGUAUGCUUGCAACAAGUUAUUUUAGAGAAUAAUUUGAAAGGGUGCUUAUUUCUGGUAUGGAAUUACAAUUUUUUAUAUAACUCUAAAAAGAGAAAUUAAACUGGUGAUUGGAUCAUUUUUGUGAUAUCCUCUUACAGAAUAUUUGAGUUAAAAUUUUGUAUCAUAAAACAGGGGAUGAGCCAAGGACAAUUAGCAAC